AUAAAAGGUGGCUUCGGCUACCACUUACAGAUGGACCCGCGGCGCAUUAGCUAGUUGGUGAGGUAACGGCUCACCAAGGCGACGAUGCGUAGCCGACCUGAGAGGGUGAUCGGCCACACUGGGACUGAGACACGGCCCAGACUCCUACGGGAGGCAGCAGUAGGGAAUCUUCCGCAAUGGACGAAAGUCUGACGGAGCAACGCCGCGUGAGUGAUGAAGGUUUUCGGAUCGUAAAGCUCUGUUGUUAGGGAAGAACAAGUGCCGUUCAAAUAGGGCGGCACCUUGACGGUACCUAACCAGAAAGCCACGGCUAACUACGUGCCAGCAGCCGCGGUAAUACGUAGGUGGCAAGGCGUUGUCCGAUUAUUGGGCGUAAAGGGCUCGCAGGCGGUUUCUUAAGUCUGAUGUGAAAGCCCCCGGCUCAACCGGGGAGGGUCAUUGGAAACUGGGGAACUUGAGUGCAGAAGAGGAGAGUGGAAUUCCACGUGUAGCGGUGAAAUGCGUAGAGAUGUGGAGGAACACCAGUGGCGAAGGCGACUCUCUGGUCUGUAACUGACGCUGAGGAGCGAAAGCGUGGGGAGCGAACAGGAUUAGAUACCCUGGUAGUCCACGCCGUAAACGAUGAGUGCUAAGUGUUAGGGGGUUUCCGCCCCUUAGUGCUGCAGCUAACGCAUUAAGCACUCCGCCUGGGGAGUACGGUCGCAAGACUGAAACUCAAAGGAAUUGACGGGGGCCCGCACAAGCGGUGGAGCAUGUGGUUUAAUUCGAAGCAACGCGAAGAACCUUACCAGGUCUUGACAUCCUCUGACAAUCCUAGAGAUAGGACGUCCCCUUCGGGGGCAGAGUGACAGGUGGUGCAUGGUUGUCGUCAGCUCGUGUCGUGAGAUGUUGGGUUAAGUCCCGCAACGAGCGCAACCCUUGAUCUUAGUUGCCAGCAUUCAGUUGGGCACUCUAAGGUGACUGCCGGUGACAAACCGGAGGAAGGUGGGGAUGACGUCAAAUCAUCAUGCCCCUUAUGACCUGGGCUACACACGUGCUACAAUGGGCAGAACAAAGGGCAGCGAAACCGCGAGGUUAAGCCAAUCCCACAAAUCUGUUCUCAGUUCGGAUCGCAGUCUGCAACUCGACUGC
rnacentral:rRNA from 1 species